GCGGCUAUAGCUCAGUCGGGAGAGCGCCUGCAUGGCAUGCAGGAGGUCGGGAGUUCGAGCCUCCCUGGCUCCA
rnacentral:tRNA from 1 species